rnacentral:lncRNA from 1 species
ACUUGAAGCUAAACAACAAAAAGCUUGCUGCGUUCUGGUUGGUAAAAGCCAAGGGUUAUCCAGCACACACAGAAGAAGAUAAACAGUGUGGCCUACCAACAGGCAAUGGAUGCUACAACACAAAGUGGAUUGGUAUGGAAUCCAGGGUUUUGCUCAUGCUAUGCCAUGGAAAAGGCACUGCGUUAAGUAUUUGAUGGUGACAUUACAGCACAUAACUCUGCUGCAAUUAAACACCCUGAAUCUAGUCCUGCUGGGGUAUGAAGUCUGCACGUUUAUGAGUCAGCCCCACUAACAGCUUCAGUGACAGUCCAUGGGGACACUAAGACAUCCUCUUGCCUUGCCACCUGAGUUGCUGGGAUUGCAAGCACACAAGCAAACUGAGCUUCCAUUCUCCAUGUGUGUAAGAGACUUCCUGAGCCUCGGCGCCGUUGUGAGAUCUGCGAUGUGUUUGUGGUGCUACAGAAGGGAGGCUUAUGUUGACAGGAUAGAUAGUAUGUGAGCUUGCUACUGCAGGAAACAAGAGUUUCUACACUUCCCAGGACGGUGGAAGAAGC